GACGAACGCUGGCGGCGUGCCUAACACAUGCAAGUCGAGCGAUGAAGCUCCUUCGGGAGUGGAUUAGCGGCGGACGGGUGAGUAACACGUGGGUAACCUGCCGCAUAGAGAGGGAUAGCCUUCCGAAAGGAAGAUUAAUACCUCAUAAGAUUGUAGUUCCGCAUGAAACGGCAAUAAAAGGAGCAAUCCGCUAUGAGAUGGACCCGCGUCGCAUUAGCUAGUUGGUAAGGUAAUGGCUUACCAAGGCGACGAUGCGUAGCCGACCUGAGAGGGUGAUCGGGCACAUUGGGACUGAGACACGGCCCAGACUCCUACGGGAGGCAGCAGUGGGGAAUAUUGCACAAUGGGGGAAACCCUGAUGCAGCAACGCCGCGUGAGUGAUGACGGUCUUCGGAUUGUAAAACUCUGUCUUUGGGGACGAUAAUGACGGUACCCAAGGAGGAAGCCACGGCUAACUACGUGCCAGCAGCCGCAGUAAAAC
rnacentral:rRNA from 1 species